ACGAGAGUAGCGGCGCCGGUAAAAGGUCAGCGAAAGUCGCGUGACGCAGUGGUGCGUUGCAAGCACACGGAAGAAGCCGAUGCCGGAGUUGGUUUGACUUACUUCAGGGGUGCGAAGGAAGAAAGAAUGUCACUAUGGCGGAUUCCGGUCUCACCAAGGAACAUAAAGCCUCCGACGAAGUUAUUCAGCUUCCCGACACUCCAGUAGAACGUGGAGGACGGUCCGCCUCUCCCCGCAUCUACCACAGGUUGGAGGCUCGUUUCCUAUUUUGCACAUGAUCCUGAUUAUGCUGCGUGGUCGCCAUCUCAGUUCACAUCUUGCAAUGGAGUGUGUGAGCAAACCGCUCCGAGGGGUGGCUAUCGACAGCACAUCUUGCACAGAAUUCAUGCAAGAGCUUCGUGGCGACAAGGAAGCCGACGAGCCCGAUCAAGAUUGGGAACUAUUGGAGUCUUCUGAAGAUUAUCUCGUUUUCUCGCAACCCACAAGCAUUUCCACGACAGUGCUCGAAGUGAAAAACAUGUCGGUUUUCCUGUGCGGAAGCGCUGGCCCAAUAUAUUUGCUAUAAUAUCCAGUAACAAGCACAUUAGAUGCCUCAUGAAGUUCUUGCUUGUUGUUAAUUUAUUACGAGCAGCAGACAUAGCCAGACGCAGACGACGACUUCAUGUAUAGGGCACACUUGUGCAAUUUUAUAAUAUCGCAUGAACGUCAACCGGACUGGAAAUCAGGGCCGUAUGACGAAGUGUAUCAAUGAAACAAUCGAGAAUGCACGCGCGCAUGCGUAAAGCUUAGCCCAGAGCAUGUGUCCUCGGCAAGGCUUUACUGCUAGAAAUAUGCUUCACAUAUCAACUUUUACUGCUUUGUUUUCCUGUCCUUUC